rnacentral:sRNA from 1 species
GGAGCACGACCUCAAGAGCCUCAUGGAGACUAUGAAACAGCCCUUCCUGCCAGGUACAGCCGCGCCCCGGGGGCCUCUCUGCGCACAAGUGGGGGCAGUGUCCUGGUCACCCCCGCGGUGACACUGCUGCAGGGAGGGCCAGCUGCAUCCGCAGGGAAAGCCCUGAGAAGCCUCUGUUGCUGCCGAGGCGAGUGGGCCACCCUGAGUGCCCUGGGCUGGGGGCGGCCGGGUCCACAUGGGAGCCUCCCUCCCUCCCAGGGGAGGUGAAGACCCUGAUGAUCCAGCUGCUGCGGGGGGUGAAGCACCUGCACGACAACUGGAUCCUGCACCGUGACCUCAAGACGUCCAACCUGCUGCUGAGCCACGCCGGCAUCCUCAAGGUGAGCCCCCCUCCGAGUGGCCCACCCCAGGGUGACCUGCGCGGGCCCACCCACAGCCGCCCAUCUGUCAUUGCAGGUGGGUGACUUCGGGCUGGCACGGGAGUACGGAUCCCCUCUGAAGGCCUACACCCCGGUCGUGGUGACCCUGUGGUACCGUGCCCCAGAGCUGCUGCUUGGUGCCAAGGAAUACUCCACAGCUGUGGACAUGUGGUCAGUGGGCUGCAUCUUCGGGGAGCUGCUGACUCAGAAGCCUCUGUUCCCCGGGAAGUCGGAAAUCGAUCAGAUCAACAAAGUGUUUAAGGAUCUGGGGACCCCCAGUGAG